CAGCCGAGGGUGGUCUCAGCGCACGCCCUGAGGCCUUGUCUGGCGGAGGGGGGCCAGGAGAAGAUACCAUUCCCAGUUUCCAGACAUGCUUACCAACAUAAUAUGAUGGCGUCAGCUUGCAGAUGGACCCAUGGGCGCUGCGUUGAUCAGUGUUGCUGUCACAAUAGCCCUAACAAGGGGGAGAACUCCAGUGCUCUGGACGGGGGAUUUUCACAGAACAGGGAACUGCACUUCCUCAGGGAGAGGGAAAUCCAAAGCCUCUGAUUUGCAGAGGGGGAGCAGAAGCUCCAAAAAGUUGCUGGCCUCUAGUCAAACACAGGCUCUUAGCCACGGUUGGAGAAAUGAAGCCUACAAGCCCCAGCUCAGUGCAGUUGAAGUGUAUGACACUGGCACAGGUUUGCUUGUGGCAUAGGCACCUCCUAGAUGCCAUUGGUCAGGCUUCCCUGGCCCAAGGAGCAGCGAGCUCUGUUGCAGGACUGCUGGAGGAGAAAGCAGCUCUGUGUUGCCACUGAGAGAAACCCUGGUACAGAAACCAUUGAGGUUCAGAGGAGCAUAGGCCUUCCAAGAACAGCUUGGGUCUCAAAGCUCAUCCCCUGCCUCCCCAGAUGCAGCAAGCACUCUUUAAAAUCCUACAGCGAAGCGACCAGAAAUCUUUGUGUUCUGUAUUCCCUGUCCAAGUGUGGGAUCCUCCUGGUCCCUUCGUGUGAAGGUGAUUUAUUACCUGAACCAAAAGUUUGUCUCACAUCCCUACCCGGGAAUGUGUAUCCAGAAGUCUGUACCUCUUAGAGACCCUGGCUGGCUCUUGGGCAUGACAGCUCCAGACAGCAGUGACUUUCACAAGCUCAUCCCUUAAUCCUAGUGUGACCUGAAGGUGGUCACACAAAUAGGGCACAAGCAGCUCCUCAUGCAGUUCUGAAAACCUUUCCUAUAUUUUGCUAUAAUUUUCUUCUUGUUGCAAGCCAUUUAUUUUUCUGCACAAUUCUUUUAACUGGUAUCUCAGUUGAAAGCUGCUUUGAAUUUCAAUUCACAAUUACUUAGCUUCUUUCACACCAACAUAGCACCUUUGCUUUAAGCUUGUACGUGGCAUUCUGCCGGCUUCAAGUGCACAGUAGCUGCUAUGGCAAGAAAAUGCAAUGAAAGUGAGUAAGUUUACCUUAUGGUAUGUGUGGAGAGACUUAAUUGAAUUAAAAACACUACCAGAAAAAUCUACAGUUUGACUAGCAGGCAGCAAGCAAGAUCAGUGAAGUUCAGUUUAUGCUCAAAGACCAAAUUUAUCCAGAACUUUGAGUUUUUAAAUGGAGCAGAACAGACAAAAUUCAGAGAUGUUUAGUAGGAUCCAGCAAUAACUCUACUAUACAGAAAUUGUAAUGCUUUGUAAAACAUUAGAAUAUAGACUAAAAAGGGAAUAGAAGAUUUCAAUUUUACAGUAAGGCAUUUAGUAUUAACUCUUUUUGUGCAGUUUAAGAUAAUCUGAUUGUUUUCGUCCUGUUUUCUGAAUUUAGAAACAUUUGGAAGAGCUUUAGUGAAUUACACUGUGAGAAAGGGAAAUAAAACCAGUUUACCUUCUUAGUUUUAAAGGGUAAACUGAACAAUAUAUUGAUGCAACUUGAUUCUGAAAUAAUUAAAUUUCCCCACUAUUUUACUAGUAUUUCAAAGUCUGUUUUUCUGCUAAGUGCUCCCCCACCUCCCAGUUCCAGUUUUAUUUCAAGAACCAGCAAAAAAGCCCUUAGACUUAAACUCUGCAUGAGGCACAAACGUACAGCACAUGCAACGCUCCGCUUAUAUCCCAGGCUGGCUUGUCAGCAGAGGGAACUCGGGGAUAGCAUCCUAUGGGGACUAAAUUUUCAUAUGUGAUUUCAGCCUGCCAUUGAAUGCUCAGUAAAUCCACUGUUUUUCUUACAUGCAGAAGGGAAGGACUAACGGAUACCCCUUCAGCGUGAAACAUGCUGUAGCUGAGCAGCAAGGACAGACCUGCCCGUGACCUACAAGAACCUCCAGUCUUGCCUGAGCAGGACAGUGCCUCUGCUCUGCUCCCUUCCUGCCAUCUGCUGCUACACUCUGGAGAAGCCAGAUCACAGAAGGACCAGAGCAGGACACCUGGCAUGUGCUUAUACAGCUGGAAGGGGAAGGAAGUCCUGGCCAUGCCCUGCUGCUGGCUGUAAGGCUCACCCAAAUCAGCUGCAGCAGGGCAGGAUGAGAACUGAAGCUUUAGUAGCACUCAGUGCAUUUGGCUGGGGGGUCCUGUACCACCAGGAAACUGUCCUGGAGACUCGCCCUACCUACAUGCAAAAAAUGAGAGAAAAUGCGUAAUAUCCCCCGUUAGUCAAGUCCUCUGCUCCAAGUGACACUAGGACAGAUUUUUAGGCUGCUUUUAGUGCUUUCUGACAGAGGAGGGAGCUGUCAGCUCACCAUUGAACUGCUCAGCAAGCAGAGAUGCCCGCCUGGGAGCUGGUUAAGCUGUCUGGGUGGCCCACCGAAGGAAGAUGUUAAGCCUGACUCGCAGGAGGUGGAUGUUAACCUGACAGUGCUUAAAUCUUUUGCUUUAAGUGCAUGUAUGGGGUGUUUUGUGUCCCUAUACAAUGAAAACCACAGUAACUAGUCUGCAGGGACAGUGGGAGCAGCAGGCCUGAGAAGCUGCUUGGAGGUGGAACAUUUGGCAGUGGGGUCUUGCACUUUUUGUUGCUGUAGCAAUGCCCCACUCCGUUGCACCCAGAGCCCCCGGAAAACUGCAGCCUGUGCAACUCCUUUCUGCUAACGGCUAGAGGCAGAGCACCCUCCUCUGUGUCCAAGCGAUGCAAGCAGCCCUUUUAUCUGGGAUACCUGCCAGGCAGCAGAAACAGGCAAGGAAAAAGCUAGGUUAAACUGGUCUGAGGUUGACUCAAGCCAACGUGGACUGGUCUGAAGUGGAAUAACAACCUGAUCCCAUCUGCCAUUUCUCCUUGUACAACGCGUCAGUAGCCUUCCUGCCUCAGCCAGUAGCAGUGUGACAAAGUAUGGCUUAAUUACAACCCUGAAA